rnacentral:rRNA from 1 species
ACUAAGCGUACACGGUGGAUGCCCUGGCAGUCAGAGGCGAUGAAGGGCGUGCUAAUCUGCGAUAAGCGCCGGUAAGGUGAUAUGAACCGUUAUAACCGGCGAUACCCGAAUGGGGAAACCCAGUGUGACUCGUCACACUAUCAUUAACUGAAUCCAUAGGUUAAUGAGGCGAACCGGGGGAACUGAAACAUCUAAGUACCCCGAGGAAAAGAAAUCAACCGAGAUUCCCCCAGUAGCGGCGAGCGAACGGGGAGGAGCCCAGAGCCUGAAUCAGCAUGUGUGUUAGUGGAAGCGUCUGGAAAGGCGCGCGAUACAGGGUGACAGCCCCGUACACAAAAGCGCAUGUGCUGUGAGCUCGAUGAGUAGGGCGGGACACGUGGUAUCCUGUCUGAAUAUGGGGGGACCAUCCUCCAAGGCUAAAUACUCCUGACUGACCGAUAGUGAACCAGUACCGUGAGGGAAAGGCGAAAAGAACCCCGGCGAGGGGAGUGAAAAAGAACCUGAAACCGUGUACGUACAAGCAGUGGGAGCACAGGUUUACCUGUGUGACUGCGUACCUUUUGUAUAAUGGGUCAGCGACUUAUAUUCUGUAGCAAGGUUAACCGAAUAGGGGAGCCGGAGGGAAACCGAGUCUUAAUUGGGCGUUAAGUUGCAGGGUAUAGACCCGAAACCCGGUGAUCUAGCCAUGGGCAGGUUGAAGGUUGGGUAACACUAACUGGAGGACCGAACCGACUAAUGUUGAAAAAUUAGCGGAUGACCUGUGGCUGGGGGUGAAAGGCCAAUCAAACCGGGAGAUAGCUGGUUCUCCCCGAAAGCUAUUUAGGUAGCGCCUCGUGAAUUCAUCUCCGGGGGUAGAGCACUGUUUCGGCUAGGGGGCCAUCCCGGCUUACCAACCCGAUGCAAACUGCGAAUACCGGAGAAUGUUAUCACGGGAGACACACGGCGGGUGCUAACGUCCGUCGUGAAGAGGGAAACAACCCAGACCGCCAGCUAAGGUCCCAAAGUCAUGGUUAAGUGGGAAACGAUGUGGGAAGGCCCAGACAGCCAGGAUGUUGGCUUAGAAGCAGCCAUCAUUUAAAGAAAGCGUAAUAGCUCACUGGUCGAGUCGGCCUGCGCGGAAGAUGUAACGGGGCUAAACCAUGCACCGAAGCUGCGGCAGCGACGCUUAUGCGUUGUUGGGUAGGGGAGCGUUCUGUAAGCCUGUGAAGGUGGCCUGUGAGGGUUGCUGGAGGUAUCAGAAGUGCGAAUGCUGACAUAAGUAACGAUAAAGCGGGUGAAAAGCCCGCUCGCCGGAAGACCAAGGGUUCCUGUCCAACGUUAAUCGGGGCAGGGUGAGUCGACCCCUAAGGCGAGGCCGAAAGGCGUAGUCGAUGGGAAACGGGUUAAUAUUCCCGUACUUGGUGUUACUGCGAAGGGGGGACGGAGAAGGCUAUGUUGGCCGGGCGACGGUUGUCCCGGUUUAAGCGUGUAGGUGUGUGUUCCAGGUAAAUCCGGUUCACUUUAACACUGAGGCGUGAUGACGAGGCACUACGGUGCUGAAGCAACAAAUGCCCUGCUUCCAGGAAAAGCCUCUAAGCAUCAGGUAACAUCAAAUCGUACCCCAAACCGACACAGGUGGUCAGGUAGAGAAUACCAAGGCGCUUGAGAGAACUCGGGUGAAGGAACUAGGCAAAAUGGUGCCGUAACUUCGGGAGAAGGCACGCUGACANGUAGGUGAAGUGAUUUACUCAUGGAGCUGAAGUCAGUCGAAGAUACCAGCUGGCUGCAACUGUUUAUUAAAAACACAGCACUGUGCAAACACGAAAGUGGACGUAUACGGUGUGACGCCUGCCCGGUGCCGGAAGGUUAAUUGAUGGGGUCAGCGCAAGCGAAGCUCCUGAUCGAAGCCCCGGUAAACGGCGGCCGUAACUAUAACGGUCCUAAGGUAGCGAAAUUCCUUGUCGGGUAAGUUCCGACCUGCACGAAUGGCGUAAUGAUGGCCAGGCUGUCUCCACCCGAGACUCAGUGAAAUUGAACUCGCUGUGAAGAUGCAGUGUACCCGCGGCAAGACGGAAAGACCCCGUGAACCUUUACUAUAGCUUGACACUGAACAUUGAGCCUUGAUGUGUAGGAUAGGUGGGAGGCUUUGAAGCGUGGACGCCAGUCUGCGUGGAGCCGACCUUGAAAUACCACCCUUUAAUGUUUGAUGUUCUAACGUGGACCCGUAAUCCGGGUUGCGGACAGUGUCUGGUGGGUAGUUUGACUGGGGCGGUCUCCUCCUAAAGAGUAACGGAGGAGCACGAAGGUUGGCUAAUCCUGGUCGGACAUCAGGAGGUUAGUGCAAUGGCAUAAGCCAGCUUGACUGCGAGCGUGACGGCGCGAGCAGGUGCGAAAGCAGGUCAUAGUGAUCCGGUGGUUCUGAAUGGAAGGGCCAUCGCUCAACGGAUAAAAGGUACUCCGGGGAUAACAGGCUGAUACCGCCCAAGAGUUCAUAUCGACGGCGGUGUUUGGCACCUCGAUGUCGGCUCAUCACAUCCUGGGGCUGAAGUAGGUCCCAAGGGUAUGGCUGUUCGCCAUUUAAAGUGGUACGCGAGCUGGGUUUAGAACGUCGUGAGACAGUUCGGUCCCUAUCUGCCGUGGGCGCUGGAGAACUGAGGGGGGCUGCUCCUAGUACGAGAGGACCGGAGUGGACGCAUCACUGGUGUUCGGGUUGUCAUGCCAAUGGCACUGCCCGGUAGCUAAAUGCGGAAGAGAUAAGUGCUGAAAGCAUCUAAGCACGAAACUUGCCCCGAGAUGAGUUCUCCCUGAGACUUAGAGUCUCCUGAAGGAACGUUGAAGACGACGACGUUGAUAGGCCGGGUGUGUAAGCGCAGCGAUGCGUUGAGCUAACCGGUACUAAUGAACCGUGAGGCUUAACC